rnacentral:ncRNA from 2 species
UAUAGUAUUUGGACGAGCGGUACCAUUUUGGUUUAAAAGGGAAUUCGGAACAAGAGCAAUCUUAAGCCGAAGCUGUCCCCGCAACUGUAAGUGCUGACAAACGAUUAAAAUGCCACUGUGAAAAACGGGAAGGCCAUUGUUUGGAGGAAGCACGAGCCAGGAGACCUGCCGAUUUGUUCAAGACAGC